AAAUGCAACAAAAAUGAAAUUUUUCCUAAAUUUCACUAGAUGCCCCUUUCUCUAUUUUAACUUUUACUUCUUCUUGCACCUUUCUUUCAUUUCUGCUUGUUUUGGUUUUAGGGUUUAGCUUCCAUUUCUGCUCAUUUCUUCUCAAAUUUUCAGUCCAUUUUCGGUCAAGUUUCCUCUCUUUUUCUUCUGUUUCUACAAAGCUUUUUUGUUUUUGCUCAAGCUCAUUUCUUGCGUUUUUUGUCGCCGUUCAAAAACAAUUGCCCACUGCUGGUGAAGCUUUUGAAACUCAAAAUUUCAAGAAGGAAGGCCUUAGUUGAAGCUUCUGCUGGUUUGAAUUUUCUGGUACAGUGAUGCAGGGGCUGACCUAUCAAAUGCUGAUCUUAGAGGUGCUGAUUUUUCUUUGGCAAAUGUAAUAAAGUUAAUCGUUUAUUACAUCUUAGGUGCAUUUCUUUUCUUGAGGAAAACUCUUUUGAGCCAUAUCUGUUACCAAACAGAUAAGUUAUUGUUCUAUCAGAUGAUCUUUUCUUCUGGAUCCCUGCUUCGUUCCUACUGUAGGCAAAUUUAAGCAAUGCUAACUUAGAAGGUGUACUUGCUACAGGGAACACAUCAUUCAAAGGAUCAAAUAUAACAGGUUCUGGUAUGUAAAAGCUCCGGUUUACUCCCAAUUUUAAUCAGCUAUAUGCGUUUGACUUUUGAGGAGUAAUGCGGUGCUUUUAUGCAGCCUACAGUACCUUAAACAUUUAUAUGUUUGUUCAUAGU